CACGUAGGGCGCAAGCGUUGUCCGGAAUUAUUGGGCGUAAAGAGCUCGUAGGCGGUCUGUUGCGUCCGCUGUGAAAACUCGGGGCUUAACCCCGAGCCUGCAGUGGAUACGGGCAGACUAGAGGUAGGUAGGGGAGAAUGGAAUUCCCGGUGUAGCGGUGAAAUGCGCAGAUAUCGGGAGGAACACCGAUGGCGAAGGCAGCCUUCUGGGCCAACACUGACGCUCAUGCACGAAAGCGUGGGGAGCAAACAGG
rnacentral:rRNA from 1 species